AUGAGUGGGUUCUUACUACCUUUUAGCUGAUUUAAAUACAAAUGAAUGUGGAAAUGCCCAUUAAGAUAUGCCCAAGAAUGAAAAUAUCAUCCAGCUGAGAACAUAUACUCUCCACAUACCAGUUAAGUGUUCUGUUCUUGUUGUUGCCUUUGAUUGUCCUCCGCUGUAGUUGAAUAGUUCAGUAACUAGGAAGGGGAAGAAAAGACUUGCAAAAUAGGGGGGUAGGUGAGAGGGGAUUUUAAUUAAUCCCAAAGUCCUAGUUCUUGAAUGCAAGAUGUGUGUUAUAUUCUGUGGAGAAUGGUGCUUUGGAAUAUGGGUCUUUAUGGGAGGUUGAUAAGAGACAUUUUAAUAGGUUUGGUAAAUUUCUGCUGCACCCCAACUAAGUUCCACAGGGAACAAAUUAUCCCAGAAUAGCCCAUGACUGCUGUAUUCUAAUGCUAUGUACCCAAAUGCAUAAUAAAUAAAAAGGGAAAGUUUUAAGUAGCCAUUUAACCCUUAACAAAAAUGGACAAGUGACCUUCUGAAAACAACUCAAUUUCUGUAAUGUGUGCAGCUUGCUUUCACUGCCAAAUACUUGAAAACACCCUUUACUCACUCUUUAUCUCAUUUAGAAUCAACUGAAGUACUGCAGCUGUUGGUUCCUGGGGCAAAACUCUGUAGGGAAAGCUGCAGGGUAUCUUCAAUGGAAGGUCUUUUCCUGUGUAACUUGUUCCCUUUGACAGCUCACCAGAAUUAGAGCUGUUGGCCUUCAGGAAACCAAAGCUGCUUGUGACUAACUUCAUCCUGAAGAAGCACUUUUGUCUGCUACAUUGCCUUCCCCUCCCUGUUCGGUGUUCUGUGAAUUUGCCGAAGCAGGCACAGGCAGACUGGCUGUGACUAUCAAAUGCCAUAAUCUUCAGUGUCUGAGCAGCUCAUCCUGCAGAAAGUAUGCCCAUCCCUCUAAGCUACUGAAAGGUGAAACGCCUGUCUCGUUUAUUUUUCCAGUAAUUUUCAGCCCAUGGUCUCAGGGGAUCUAUUAUUAGCUGACACAUUUGACAUCUGAACUCUGUGCUUGUCCUAAAAUAAAUUCCCCUUAACUCCACAAACAUACAUCUUAGCAGGGUUUUUUUUAUUGACAGUUUGGCGGAGAUGUGAGGCCGCUUGAUGGGAAUUCCACUGAGCGCUGAUAUACCUCAGGGCAUGAAGAGAAUUCAUCAGCCAGGGCUGUCUUGUCUUGUCACAUUGUGAUCAGUGCUUGUUUCCCUCUAUCAGUUUGACUCUGCUUUUAGUCUUGUAGUGGGGUGCUGGUGAAUGAGAGCCAUAGAUGUAGGCACACUCAUUCAGAUUAGGCUGGGAUUAGAUGCCAAUGUAACACUAGAAAAUAUAGUCAUUAGCCAACGGGAAAGGGGUAAUUAUCAUUCUUAAGAAUGAAUGCCACAUCAGAACAGAUCAAUUUUACAUCUAGUUUGGUCAUGUCUCUAGCGGUGGCCAAUACUAGCUUCUUCAGGAAGAGAUUUAAACCUUCAGACUAUGCUUAAGUGAGCAAUCCUAUACCACGGGACAAACUUAUUCCUAACCUCCAACUAGUUUUAUGACCUGAAGCAUGAAUCCUAAACUCAGUUUUUAAGACACUACCUUUAAUUUUCCAAGGAGUGAUGAUUCUAAAUUCACAAAAAUACAUGCCAAGGAGUUCCAGAGCUUGCUCUUUUGCUUCCAGAUGGGCCAGGUCAUGAAAGAAUUAGUAUGGUUGCCAGUUAGCUAUUGCUCUGGGUGGAAUGUUAGAAGGAGGUUCUGGCGGUAUUGACUGGACAGUAGCUAGCCACUUUAAUUUCAUUUUUUAAUCUUUUAGGUGCAGUUAAACCAAACCUAUACUGAAAUAAUACCCAGCAAACCUGUUUCAGUGCAAAAUAAGAUAACGGGCUGUCUUAAAGCUACAAAAGCCAUGAAAUUCAUAAUAGUAUUGACCCAGCUUUAAAUAGCUCCUUUUGUGUCCGGGCACAGAUGGAGUAGGAAUUGGCCAGUAUGUCAUAAACUCUUCUCUGGAGGAGGGUGCAUCAGUUAAAAAAUUAAUCUUAAAUUAUUUUUAAAAAACUUACCGCCCUCAUGGCUAUGACAGAAACUUUCUCAUAGGAUCCAAUGCAGUGCUCUGUCUGAAUCAACAAGGUGGAAAGAUAGCUGAAACGAGUGAUCUCAUUUCAAAUAUUACAUAUGCUGAGCUUUCUUAAAAUUCCCACUAUCGGACUAGCUGUGGUUGAGAAUGGUGGGAGCACUAGUAUAGAAAAUCCAUUGCAUUUUUAUCAUUGUGUUAUCUAGGCCAUCUUUGACCAGUGUACAGUGGUAAUAAAAGCCAGCUGCCUGCCAGUGCCAGUGUUUUUACCAUAGUUAGCACCAGUGCUAGUGUAAUGCUAUGAAACUUAAAGAAAAAACUUCUUAUAGAUAAAUCUCCAUGGGGUAUAAAUUCCAAAUCUUAACAAUAACAAUUUGCUCAAUGCUGACAUUUAAUCAAAUGCAGAUCUUUACAUCAGAAACAUCCAGCUAAACAUCCAGCUACUAUGGGAUUAUGGAGAUCUUGUGUAGUUACCUCCGCUCUCCUCUUUCCCCACUCAAAUAGCUAAACCCUACCCUAGGUUGUUUGCACCCUGUUAGAUGUCAGAUUAUUUAUUGAGGUUGUAGACGAAGCCAUAUUCUAUUUAUAUCUGGGCUCUGCAGAGUAAGGAAGGGUGGAAUGGAAGCCAUAACUCUGAGAUUGAGUUUUGGAGUUAAAGGAGCAAUAAGAAAAGCCUAAAACCCACAAGAGGUCUUAAAUAAGUUUUGUAUACAUCAGACUUAAAAAAAAAUAAAAAAAAAAUGGCUAAGUAAAUUUGAUUUGAAAUUUUAAAAAUAGUGUUCAGGUCUGCUGUAACCCGGUAUAUACUAAGUUUCAGUCUGUAGCAAAUGUUCCUGGAGUUAUAAACCCCAGAAAAUGGGGGUUUAAUCAUGGAAAUUUUGACAAACCCUUAACUACAGCGGCGCCACUGGGCACUGCUCUAAUAUUAAAAGCAAUUUUAAGCUCAGCCAUGUGUUCACAAACAAGUGACAUUUGGGAAGUGCAGUUUUAGAUUGAGCCUCCAUGCUCACAUUGUUAAGCGGCAUAGCGUGAAAUUACUGAACAAACAGCAUAGAGAGCUCUGAGCAGAUCUGGGGAAAAUGUUGGAGAGUGGAAGGAGAUGCCCAAUUUAUUUCCAUUGCACCAGGUGACACUUCUCUGUUUACAGGAUUCCAUUUAAUAUUUCCAAAAUCAUGAGUUGCAUAUGUGUGUGUGUUAACCAUUUGUUACCAUGGUAGGGGAUUCCAGAUGAGGUGUGAGCUCUGUUAUGGUAUGUGGGCAAUAAGUUCAUUGACGUCUCCUUUUUAAGUUAAAGAAGGAUUUAAUGAAAUAUCAGAUGGUUGUGUUAUGUGUAAACUCAGAUUGCCUGCGCUUUUCAUGAUGAAAGAACAAUCCUGGACUGUGUUUUUCUGGUUAAAUAGCACAGGGUUUUUAAAUGAGUUGACUAAAGCAGCUAUUCUGAUUUUGUUCAUUUGUUUUGUUUUUUGCUGUCAGACAUAGCUGGAUUAUAUUUGCUAAUACCAGAGUGAUUUUUUCCCAAGUCACUAUCAUAGUUCUUAAAGUGCUUAGAAAUGACACUGUGGAAGUACAGAAUAUUACUUCAUUU